CAAGAAAUGGCUAAAGGCAGCUCUGGGGCAUGAUCAGGGCUCAGAACCAAGCUCAGGACAUCCUCCAAAAGCCGCUCUUAGAUUUGUCCGGAAUUGAGCUGAAAGUGCCGUUCUUGUUGCUGUCCAGGGUGUCUAGUACUGGUCCCAGGGCUGGAAAAGACCAGUCCCUUCUGCAAGUUAGGGGCUUAGCGCCAAAGGGAACAAAGGGCUGGAGGGAGCCAUUCAUCCUUGGCUAGGGAUUAAGGGGCUGUAGGGCACAAGGUGGAGCCAAGCCACUUCUAAUUCUGCACCAUGAAGAUGGCUCAAAGGGAAGACAUGUGCAGAACACAUUUGGGCCUCAGGAACUGGCCAGAGCAACAUGUGUCCUGGCCCAGGCAGGGUGGCCCCAAGUUCCCUGCAGACAGAGAUGCCAAGGGGUCCAAGGGGGUCUCCUAAGGAGGAGAUGAGGACUUCAACUCACUCCAGGCACAAGGGUUAUGCUCUGCUAACGCUGCCGGAAAUGACUUGGAUUAAAUGACAUGAAUCGGGAAGCCAGGGCCAUCAGAAGUGGUUUUGUGAAGAAACACAGGGAAGGUCACCAGGUCACUCUCAUCCCUUCAUUCUCUCUCUCUGAAUACCUGAUAGACUGUAAAAUAGAGCUCACCGAACGCACCAAGUCUGUGUGUACUUUCAGUAUCUAAGGAGUAAACACCCUGUGAAGUGUCAGCUGGGACCAGGAGCAUGAUUGCUACCACUGAGGCCCCCACAGAUCCCCUGUCACUGAUGCCUCCGUCCCCCCCGGGGUGCGGAAAACUUCCGUGGAAGGAGCUGUCUAAAGGGAACACGGAGUAAAGAAC
rnacentral:lncRNA from 1 species